rnacentral:tRNA from 1 species
GGUGACUCAUUGGUAGAGUGCUUGUUUCGCAUGCAUGAGGCCCUGGGUUCGAUUCCUCAGCACCA